GCCGACUUAGCUCAGCUGGUAGAGCACAUCAUUCGUAAUGAUGGGGUCGUAGGUUCGAAUCCUAUAGUCGGCACCA
rnacentral:tRNA from 1 species